CCCGGUAAACGGCGGCCGUAACUAUAACGGUCCUAAGGUAGCGAAAUUCCUUGUCGGGUAAGUUCCGACCUGCACGAAUGGCGUAAYGAUGGCSRGGCUGUCUCCACCCGAGACUCAGUGAAAUUGAAAUCGCUGUGAAGAUGCAGUGUACCCGCGGCAAGACGGAAAGACCCCGUGAACCUUUACUAUAGCUUGACACUGAACACUGRKCCUUGAUGUGUAGGAUAGGUGGGAGGCUUUGAAGCGUGGACGCCAGUCUGCGUGGAGCCGUCCUUGAAAUACCACCCUUUAAUGGCUGGUGUUCUAACGUAGACCCGUAAUCCGGGUUGCGGACAGUGUCUGGUGGGUAGUUUGACUGGGGCGGUCUCCUCCYAAAGAGUAACGGAGGAGCWCGAAGGUUAGCUAAUCCUGGUCGGACAUCAGGAGGUUAGUGCAAUGGCAUAAGCUAGCUUGACUGCGAGAGUGACGGCUCGAGCAGGUGCGAAAGCAGGUCAUAGUGAUCCGGUGGUUCUGAAUGGAAGGGCCAUCGCUCAACGGAUAAAAGGUACUCCGGG
rnacentral:rRNA from 1 species